CACGUAGGCGGAUUUGUCAGUCAGGGGUGAAAUCCCGGGGCUCAACCUCGGAACUGCCUUUGAUACAGCAAGUCUUGAGUUCGAGAGAGGUGGGUGGAAUUCCUAGUGUAGAGGUGAAAUUCGUAGAUAUUAGGAAGAACACCGGUGGCGAAGGCGGCCCACUGGCUCGAUACUGACGCUGAGGUGCGAAAGCGUGGGGAGCAAAACA
rnacentral:rRNA from 1 species